GCCUCUCCCUCUGUGUGUGCUCUCUCCCUCUCCGCCCUGGAGCCUGGCUGAUGACCCGCACCUGUGUCUCAUCAACCUCCACCUCCGCCCGCCACACCUGCCUGCCAUCAGCCUCAUCUUCAACAGUAUUUCUACCCCGGUUCUCCACUCCAUCUUCGCUUGAUCGUCGUCGCUCCAGUCCUGGUCCACUCACCUCCGCCAUCCAGUUAGUCAGCCGGGCUUGCCUACCUGCCUUCUCCCCUCGCCUCGGCCUCCAGCCCCCUCUCAGUCGCCUUGCUCGAGCCUUGCCAGCCCCGCCUGCUCCUCGGCCCUCUGUGCCCACGUCUGCCGGCGUCCUGUUCACCUCAUCUCACCUCCCGACUCCCCUUUUUCCCUCAAUAAACCUCUUUUGUAAACUGA